rnacentral:rRNA from 1 species
AACGAACGCUGGCGGCAUGCCUAACACAUGCAAGUCGAACGAUGCCUUCGGGCAUAGUGGCGCACGGGUGCGUAACGCGUGGGAAUCUGCCCUUGGCUUCGGAAUAACAGUUAGAAAUGACUGCUAAUACCGGAUGAUGUCCCCCUGAGAGAUCUUGGGGACCAAAGAUUUAUCGGCCAGGGAUGAGCCCGCGUAGGAUUAGGUAGUUGGUGGGGUAAAGGCCUACCAAGCCGACGAUCCUUAGCUGGUCUGAGAGGAUGAUCAGCCACACUGGGACUGAGACACGGCCCAGACUCCUACGGGAAGCAGCAGUGGGGAAUAUUGGACAAUGGGGGGAACCCUGAUCCAGCAAUGCCGCGUGAGUGAUGAAGGCCUUAGGGUUGUAAAGCUCUUUUACCAGGGAUGAUAAUGACAGUACCUGGAGAAUAAGCUCCGGCUAACUCCGUG